CAUCGGGACUUUCGUCUUGUAUUGGAUGAUGGUGAUGUACAACCUCACCAGAGUACCAAUUGGAGGGCAAGUCUGGUGCCAGCAGCCGCGGUAUUUCCAGCUCCAAUCCGCGUAUAUUAAACUUGUUGCAGUUAAAAAGCUCGUAGUUGUAUUUCAGCCUCGCGUUUUUUCCCUGGUUUUGGGUCUUUUCGCUGGCUUUUUUUUUACUUUGAGAAAAUUAGAGUGUUUCAAGCAGACUUUUGUCUUGAAUACUUCAGCAUGGAAUAAUAGAGUAGGACCUUGGUUCUAUUUUGUUGGUUUUGAGCCUUGGUAUUGGUUAAUAGGAACGGUUGGGGGCAUUCGUAUUUAUCUGUCAGAGGUGAAAUUCUUAGA
rnacentral:rRNA from 1 species